UCUUUUGAGGCAAUGCAGGUACAUUAGUGUGCAGUUUUUGGAGUUGUAGCUGAGACCUCAAAGCCAUAAAGGUGGCCAUUUUGGUUCAAGGAUUUCAAGCUCUAGGUGCAGCUUUAACAUGUAUAUCUGGUGUCCAGCUUUCUUUUCCUUUUUGCUUGCCUUUGACCUUUUAAUCUAAUAUUUGAUGUAUGAGAGUGAUGCAAUCACUUUGAUUUGUGUUUGGAUUGCAUUUUUCUGAAUUUUUGUGAAAAAAUUACUGUAGCGAUUUGAUGUAUGUAAGAUAAAAAGGUAAUAGGAAAUGUGUUCACGAAAACGUAGCAUUUUUUCAACAUCCAAUGUAGAGGUAGGCUCUUUAUUGUUUCAUCCAAUUGCCUUGAAUUGUUGCAUGACAGCCCAUUUUUUUGACUUUUUAUGCCUUUGUCUGCUGGUUCUCUCUUUAACUCCUCUUUCAC
rnacentral:lncRNA from 1 species